GCCCUUGUAGCUCAGUCGGUAGAGCGCCGUCUUCGUAAGUCGGAUGCCGCAGGUUCAAUUCCUGUCGAGGGCUC
rnacentral:tRNA from 3 species